GCAACAUUCAGCAGCGGCCCGCCACGCUGCACACGGGGGCGCAAACGCCGUCGGACGCCGGCGAGGCGGAGGGUGACCGGGGGUGCGAGACGCACCAGCCAGCUGGCGACACGGAUCUCACUUCGCCCACGGACUCGGUCAACGGCCAGAGCGACUAGGUCAGGUCAGCGGCCGCCCGGCCGGCAGCGGCCGCCAGAGGCGCCACCUGUCCCACGGGAGGCACACCCGGUGUCAGACGUGUGCGAGCUCACGUCGGCGGGAGCUGCUGACCUGACCUGACCUGCUGGAGGUCCGCCCGGUCAACGGCGGACGGGGUGGCAGGCCUGGCUCCGGGGAUGGCAGGCCGGCAGAGUCAGUCGCCUGUAGUGAGUGUUGCGUCGGCACUGUCCCAGGCCCGCACAUGCCUGGACCGUGUCCGUCGUAUACAUGCGUACUGAGACGUGUAGUGCGACUCAAUGGGCGUGUGUGACGUUGGCUGUUGUGUGUGCACUGAAGCUAGUAAUGACUUCGCAUGGAUCUGUCUUGAGGGUAUGUGAGGGUUGUUUGGGUUGUCUGCCUGCUGACUUGGCUGACGAGAACGCAAUUCAUUUAUGAUUAGAUGUGCCUUAUAUGUUCAUUUUUAGUAUGCAUAUUGUUUGGGCUCACGUAUGCAAUUAACUGUUUGAACUCUGCGGGGUCAUAUAGCCACACACAGAUAUGUAUGUUGCGGCGCGUUGAGUGAAAUUAUGUUGCCUUAUCUUGGUAUAGCACUAUUACGGACAGGCUGGCAUGUACUCUUAUACCACCAGUGAGCGGGGGGCCUCUUCAGCCCAUUCUGUCCGGUUGAUAAGAACGCUAACCCGAAGCGUAGGGUUGAAAACACACGAUGUGGUGAAGUACUGCUGCUUUUAUGUAACCUUUCUGGGUUGUGUUUGCCCGAAAUGAAUUCGUGCAUUUCAGGUGUUACUGUGAUAAUUUCCGAGCACUUUUUCAGACAAAAUGUCAGUGGUGAUAAAAGGCCGGAAUAAAAGCAGAUAAAGUUUCACUACAUCGUAGUUCAUUUACUACUAGUCCCCGAUUACUAGAUUCCGGAAAUCGUAAUGCACUAAAAGUGCUGGCCAACCCCAUGGUCAUGAUCCAUCGGGUUAUUUCAAACGAUUUUUGAUGAACCACGCUGCUUGACCAACCAACAGCUUUCAUAAAGCAUUCUGCUAUUCAGUGAGUUUCAAGACGCUUAGCAUCGGUGUGAAGCGGUGCCAAUGCCGUAACACAUCUAGUAAUGACAGCAUUACGAUUGGGUGAAAAGCCCUUGGUUUCCAUGUGACUUUAUUUGAACUUGUGCUCAACUUUGCACUUGGUUUGAAAUAACGGCUUGGUACUGAACGCCAACUGCUCAUCUAUUUAAGGAGAUAUUGCCCGCAGUAAUAGCCCUUUUCCUUGGAGAAAAACCAGGAGAAUGGAGAUAUAGAUGGAUUGAUAUUUCGAUAACAUGCCUUUAUCGAAACAAUAGCAAGAGAUAAAGGCAUGUUGCCGAAAUACCAACCUUUUAUGUCUUUUCCCCGGGUUCUUCUCCGAGAGAUAUUGCCCGAGCGGUCCUGGGCAGCGAAGGGUUCACUCCCCAUACAAUAUUCUCCAUUUCCAUUACUCAGUGGUGGGAUUUAGUUCUCGUACACAUCGUGGUAAGUCUCUACGGUGGCCGGCCGCGUCCCUAGUCGAACUACUGUGAUGUCAUCCACAAUAUGACCUUGCACUGAGAGGUACGUAUUUGCAGCCGUGAAUGCGUCAUCAUUUGUGAGCCGUCGGGUCCGCCUCGUGCCCAUGCACCGAGUACUGAUGUGAUUCUAUAUGGGGAGCGCGGUUGUAGUGACGCCCCCCCCCCGCCCCUCCUCCCCUCCCCUCAUCCCUGUGAGUGGGCGUUGGGUGGGUGCAUAAUGGCGUAAGCACAUGCAUUCCUGAUUUCAAGGCGCCGCACCGAGACGAGGCGACUGACCUUUGUAUCUGGUGGCUAGAUUGCGGACCUGGCCUCCGGUCCACACUGGCCCAUCCCCUGGUCCGGACCAGCUGGUCUUCCGGUCCAACAAGCCGUCUCUCGGUCCAGACCCGUCGGUCUCCCGGUCCAGACUCGUCGGUCUCCCAGUUCAGAUCCGUCGGUCCAGCGGUUCAAAUGUCAUCCAGUAGUGUGUGCUGUGCAGGAUGCAAAUAUAAAUUCGUGCUACCAGAAUCCUGGCUCUCUGGUGGUCCACGCACGCAAUUCGUUGGCGCUAAUCCGUUGUCUUUUGACCCCGACCCAGAGAUCUGACCUACUCAGCCGAUUUGUUACGCCUGGGGCGCAUGUGUACUGGUUUGACAGCCGUCUGUCUCGAUGCUGAUUGGCUGAUUUUGAGCAAGGGGAGAGGCCAUAGGCAGUGAGCCCAAACCCGGGGUGUUACAGCAUGAAAAAAUAUCAACAUACCGGCCACCCAAGUGGCCGAAUAUUGGAGCAUUGCGUCGGCCUCACGGUCUAAUCAGCCGGUCGCCCGGCCCAGACCUGCCGGCCUCUCGGCCCAGACCCUCCGGUCUCCCGGUCCAGAUCAGUCGGUCGUCCGGUCCGGACCCUCCGGUCUCCCGGUCCAGAUCAGCCGGUCGCCCGAUCCAGACCCACUGGUCCUCCGGUCCAGAUCAGCCGGUGCCUGGGUCCAGGCCAGCAACGUCCCACCAUCGUCAGCAGACCGCUGUCGGCACUGGCGCAGGUCGACCGCGCGCUCCCGACCGGCCGCCGGCGGCGGACUGGACCCUGCGAUGUCCCGGCAGAGACGCGCCGCUGCUCGGGCCGCUCGGCUGCGAUGGGCAUCGCGAGCGCCACCGCACGUCACAGCGCCAUUGCCGCAGUCAUGUCAAUGGUCGGCGUUUUCUGUUUAUAUUCUCGAGGAUGCCAUCGACAGCGCCGUGUGGUCCGCGGACGCCUCACGUUGGGUGGGUCUGGUUUUGAGUGAGGUGGAACGAUGGAGGACGGCCGGCACCGGUCCUUCCCCUGGGUGACAGCCAUGCCCCUGUGAUCGUGCGUUGGCGCCGACAGCGCCCCGCCGGUGAGCCGGUUCCGAUCGAUGCCAGGCCGAUGGGUCGUGUCCCGAGGAGGUCUCAAUAGCCCUUCAACAGUUGUGUUCACAGGUCAACGGACAUUGUUGGCCGCAUGCUUCCACAGGCACGUAACUAUUCAGCGAUGCUUUUUUCUACUACAUGCUUCUGCAGGCACUAAGAUGUGGGGCUUAGUGUGUGUGUGGGGGGGGGGGGGGCAAAGACGUAAUCUUCUGCUAGCUCCUUUGAAUUGGACCGAAUUCGUGCGAAAUCGUUCAGCAUCAAGUGCAGACCUGUUGGCCCAAGGACAUGGCCCUGUACACACUUUCCCAGCCCUCCCCCUCACUACGUCCCAGACUUGUAACGGGCAAGAAAGUUGGUGCUCGUUGCUUUGUGCCGAUUACCAGGCAAGCCUAUCUGAGCCCCUUUGGGACAUGGCCGUCGGUUUGUCACUGAUCCACAUGACUUCUCAGGCGAUGCGAUCUGAUCUUUGUCAACGACCCGGUUGUGUGUUUGGGAGGCACGUCGGGCGCAUGUUGCAUUUCUAGAUUGCGGCACAGGCAGUGUGGCAGGCACCCAGUGCUGAUGCUUGAGGCACGUGUUCGGUGGCUUGCGUGUGUGGCUGGAAGACACGUGCGGUGCAUGGCACCUGUGAAUAUCAUGAAUAAACGGCUUUUCUGCG
rnacentral:lncRNA from 1 species